AAGGAUUUAAGUUAAAUUUAAACUACUAACCUUCAAAGUUAAAAAUAGGCAUACCUAAACCUUA
rnacentral:tRNA from 1 species